CACAGGCCGCUCCCACAAGAGUUGAUUGACAAGGCAGUUUUACCUUAGACCCGCCCUGAGAAAGCUGUCAUCAGUCCGCCAUUGUGUUGACUCUAGUGCAGGGGAAGACAAGAAUGUCUCCGAUUAAGAGAUUGAGGUGUUUUGUUGUUGGAUGUAAUAAUGAAUAUAGCAGUAAUCAUUUACUCCCGACAUCUGAGCCGCUGAAGACGCAGAGGAUUAACUUUACUUUCAUUUUUGAAGGGAAUGUGUCGAUCCCAAUCUGCCUAAAUGUGUCUAUGUUCGAGUGAAUCAUUUGUGAUCCAGCUUCAUCUACAGAAGAAGAAAGGACGUGUCGUGUGGCCAAUCAUGGUGUCCCAUACGUGGAAUUUGUGCUCUGAAUUUAACCCAUCCAAGUGCACACACACAGCACGUAGAGUACCCCAGUCUGUCUGCGCCAGUGAUCUGUUCCCGAAGUCUGCUACUCCGCCUGUGUGAGGUGUGUGCUCUGACCUGAAUUCCUAAUAUUCCUGUCAAGACAAAGAUCUCCAAUCAACUUCUCAUCGAAUGUCAACUGGCCAACUGGAUAUUAUACUCACCAUUUCCAAUCACCAUUGCUCUGCUGAUCCUAAAUAAACAUCUGUUGUCAAUCCGAUUCCCUGACUAAGUCUGCUUCCGUAACAAUAACUCCGUUACAUCUUGACUAAUGUAAGUUCUUAGUUUUGAAAACACCCAGAAAACCUUUUGAUCACCACACAUUUAUUCACAAUCCAUCAGAGUGUCUGUACUUUAAGAAAUCUUUUAAGACUUUAAGGUGAGUUCAUGGUCUUACAGGCCAACUCAU